GUGGUGACACGUGGAGCUGACAGAUACUAAUAGAUCGAGGACUUAACCUAU
rnacentral:rRNA from 2 species